rnacentral:rRNA from 1 species
CAGCCGCCGCGGUAAUACGUAGGGUGCGAGCGUUAAUCGGAUUUACUGGGCGUAAAGCGUGCGCAGGCGGCCCGUUAAGACAGGUGUGAAAUCCCUGGGCUCAACCUAGGAAUUGCGCUUGUGACUGGCGGGCUCGAGUACGGUAGAGGGGGGUGGAAUUCCUGGUGUAGCAGUGAAAUGCGUAGAGAUCAGGAGGAACACCGAUGGCGAAGGCAGCCCCCUGGGCCUGUACUGACGCUCAUGCACGAAAGCGUGGGGAGCAAACAGGAUUAGAUACCCUGGUAGUCCACGCCCUAAACGAUGGGUACUAGCCGUUUGGUGCGCGAUAGCGCUGAGUGGCGAAGCUAACGCGUGAAGUACCCCGCCUGGGGAGUGCGGCCGCAAGGUUGAAACUUAAAGGAAUUGGCGGG